GACGAACGCUGGCGGCGUGCUUAACACAUGCAAGUCGAACGGAAAGGCCCUGCUUUUGUGGGGUGCUCGAGUGGCGAACGGGUGAGUAACACGUGAGUAACCUGCCCUUGACUUUGGGAUAACUUCAGGAAACUGGGGCUAAUACCGGAUAGGAGCUACUGCUGCGUGGUGGGGGUUGGAAAGUUUCGGCGGUUGGGGCUGGACUCGCGGCUUAUCAGCUUGUUGGUGGGGUAGUGGCUUACCAAGGCUUUGACGGGUAGCCGGCCUGGGAGGUGGACCGGCCACAUUGGUACUAAGGUACGGCCCAGACUCCUACGGGAGGCAGCAGUGGGGAAUAUUGCGCAAUGGGCGGAAGCCUGUGGCAGCAGCGCCGCGUGCGGAAUGACGUCCUUCGGGUUGUAAACCGCUUUCGCCUUUGACGAAGCGUGAGUGACGGUAAUGGGUAAAGAAGCACCGGCUAACUACGUG
rnacentral:rRNA from 1 species